rnacentral:rRNA from 1 species
UGCGUAGGUGGUGAGGUAAGUCGGAUGUGAAAGCUCCGAGCUCAACUCGGAAAUGGCAUUGGAAACUACCUUGCUAGAGGGUUUGAGGGGGGACUGGAAUACUUGGUGUAGCAGUGAAAUGCGUAGAUAUCAAGUGGAACACCAGUGGCGAAGGCGAGUCCCUGGAAAACUCCUGACACUGAGGCACGAAAGCUAGGGGAGGCAAACAG